rnacentral:misc_RNA from 1 species
AAUAAUUUCUGAAGUUGGAAAAGUAAUUGAAAUCACGUUGUACAGAAAGUGCUUAAGCUAACGCAUUGAGAUGAGCGCCUACGUAUUUAAUGAAACACACCGACGAGAGAAAUGAUUAAAAGUCAUUUCGGAAACUCCCGAUACCGAGUACACCUAUUGUAAUGGGUGAAUGAGUAGAUAGACGUAAGUUUAUCUAAAAUCAAGGUGGGAACACGUAUAAACGUCCUUGCA